rnacentral:rRNA from 1 species
UUGAACGCUGGCGGCAUGCUUUACACAUGCAAGUCGAACGGCAGCGCGGGCUUCGGCCUGGCGGCGAGUGGCGAACGGGUGAGUAAUGCAUCGGAACGUGCCCAGUAGUGGGGGAUAGCCCGGCGAAAGCCGGAUUAAUACCGCAUACGACCUGAGGGUGAAAGCGGGGGACCGAAAGGCCUCGCGCUAUUGGAGCGGCCGAUGUCGGAUUAGCUAGUUGGUGGGGUAAAGGCUUACCAAGGCGACGAUCCGUAGCUGGUCUGAGAAGACGACCAGCCACACUGGGACUGAGACACGGCCCAGACUCCUACGGGAGGCAGCAGUGGGGAAUUUUGGACAAUGAGGGCAACCCUGAUCCAGCCAUGCCGCGUGCGGGAAGAAGGCCUUCGGGUUGUAAACCGCUUUUGUUCGGGAAGAAAUCCUCUGGGCUAAUACCCCGGGGGGAUGACGGUACCGGAAGAAUAAGCACCGGCUAACUACGUG